rnacentral:rRNA from 1 species
UACGGAGGGAGCUAGCGUUGUUCGGAAUUACUGGGCGUAAAGCGCGCGUAGGCGGCUUUGUAAGUUAGAGGUGAAAGCCCGGGGCUCAACCCCGGAACUGCCUUUAAAACUGCAUCGCUUGAAUCCGGGAGAGGUGAGUGGAAUUCCGAGUGUAGAGGUGAAAUUCGUAGAUAUUCGGAAGAACACCAGUGGCGAAGGCGGCUCACUGGUCCAUUACUGACGCUGAGGUGCGAAAGCGUGGGGAGCAAACAGG